rnacentral:rRNA from 1 species
GGGAAUAUUGCACAAUGGGCGAAAGCCUGAUGCAGCAACGCCGCGUGAAGGAAGAAGGAAUUCGUUCUGUAAACUUCUGUUAUAAAGGAAGAAAGACGGAUGGAGGAAAUGACAUCCGAGUGACGGUACUUUAUGAGAAAGCCACGGCUAACUACGUGCCAGCAGCCGCGGUAAUACGUAGGUGGCAAGCGUUGUCCGGAUUUACUGGGUGUAAAGGGCGUGCAGCCGGAGAGACAAGUCAGAUGUGAAAUCCACGGGCUCAACCCGUGAACUGCAUUUGAAACUGUUUCCCUUGAGUGUCGGAGAGGUAAUCGGAAUUCCUUGUGUAGCGGUGAAAUGCGUAGAUAUAAGGAAGAACACCAGUGGCGAAGGCGGAUUACUGGACGAUAACUGACGGUGAGGCGCGAAAGCGUGGGGAGCA